GACGAACGCUGGCGGCGUGCUUAACACAUGCAAGUCGAACGGAAAGGCCCUGCUUUUGUGGGGUGCUCGAGUGGCGAACGGGUGAGUAACACGUGAGUAACCUGCCCUUGACUUUGGGAUAACUUCAGGAAACUGGGGCUAAUACCGGAUAGGAGCUCCUGCUGCAUGGUGGGGGUUGGAAAGUUUCGGCGGUUGGGGAUGGACUCGCGGCUUAUCAGCUUGUUGGUGGGGUAGUGGCUUACCAAGGCUUUGACGGGUAGCCGGCCUGGGAGGGUGACCGGCCACAUUGGGACUGAGAUACGGCCCAGACUGCAACGGGAGGCAGCAGUGGGGAAUAUUGCACAAUGGGCCGAAGCCUGAUGCAGCAACGCCGCGUGCGGGAUGACGGCCUUCGGGUUGUAAACCGCUUUCGCCUGUGACGAAGCGUGAGUGACGGUAAUUGGUAAAGAAGCACCGGCUAACUACGUG
rnacentral:rRNA from 1 species